AAUCCAUGAUGUCGGUACUAGAGUAAAAGUCCCUUGAAACUAUCUUAUGCUUCAAAUAAAGAUUCUCUAUCUUUUUGUAUGGAACUGGUUGAUCCUGUCUGAGAAC